rnacentral:rRNA from 1 species
AGUGAACGCUGGCGGUAGGCCUAACACAUGCAAGUCGAACGGCAGCACAGAGGAGCUUGCUCCUUGGGUGGCGAGUGGCGGACGGGUGAGGAAUACAUCGGAAUCUACUCUGUCGUGGGGGAUAACGUAGGGAAACUUACGCUAAUACCGCAUACGACCUACGGGUGAAAGCAGGGGAUCUUCGGACCUUGCGCGAUUGAAUGAGCCGAUGUCGGAUUAGCUAGUUGGCGGGGUAAAGGCCCACCAAGGCGACGAUCCGUAGCUGGUCUGAGAGGAUGAUCAGCCACACUGGAACUGAUACACGGUCAAGACUCCUACGGGAGGCAGCAGUGGGGAAUAUUGGACAAUGGGCGCAAGCCUGAUCCAUCCAUACCGCGUGGGUGAAGAAGGCCUUCGGGUUGUAAAGCCCUUUUGUUGGGAAAGAAAUCCAUCUGGUUAAUACCCGGGUGGGAUGACGGUACCCAAAGAAUAAGCACCGGCUAACUUCGUGCCAGCAGCCGCAGUAA